rnacentral:rRNA from 1 species
GAUGAACGCUGGCGGCGUGCCUAAUACAUGCAAGUCGAGCGAACGGACGAGAAGCUUGCUUUUCUGAUGUUAGCGGCGGACGGGUGAGUAACACGUGGAUAACCUACCUAUAAGACUGGGAUAACUUCGGGAAACCGGAGCUAAUACCGGAUAAUAUUUUGAACCGCAUGGUUCAAAAGUGAAAGACGGUCUUGCUGUCACUUAUAGAUGGAUCCGCGCUGCAUUAGCUAGUUGGUAAGGUAACGGCUUACCAAGGCAACGAUGCAUAGCCGACCUAAGAGGGUGAUCGGCCACACUGGAACUGAGACACGGUCCAGACUCCUACGGGAGGCAGCAGUAGGGAAUCUUCCGCAAUGGGCGAAAGCCUGACGGAGCAACGCCGCGUGAGUGAUGAAGGUCUUCGGAUCGUAAAACUCUGUUAUUAGGGAAGAACAUAUGUGUAAGUAACUGUGCACAUCUUGACGGUACCUAAUCAGAAAGCCACGGCUAACUACGUG